CUGCAGUCGAGCGGGAUGUCAGCAAURSCMUGAGAGCGCGMACGGGUGAGUAACGCGUACACGACCUACCUUUGACUGGGGGAUAAGCCCUGGGAAACUGGGAUUAAUACCGCAUAUAAUUCUGAAUGARUAAAGRWAUUGGAAUGAAAGUUCAGGGCGGUCAGAGAUGGGUGUGCGUCUGAUUAGCUAGUUGGUAGGUAACGGCUACCAAGGCGAUGAUCAGUAGGGGGCGUGAGAGCGUGGWCCCCCACACGGGUACUGAGACACGGACCCGACUCCUACGGGAGGCAGCAGUAAGGAAAUAUUGGCAAUGGCCGCAAGGCUGAUCCAGCCAUCCAGCGUGCAGGAAGAAGGCCCUAYGGGUUGUAAACUGCUUUURUCAGGGAAWGAAACCUGUGGAUUUACUCCGCAGCUGAMGGUACCUGAAGAAUAAGCACCGGCUAACUCCGUGCCCAGCAGCCGCGGUAAUACGGAGGGUGCGAGCGU
rnacentral:rRNA from 1 species